GAACGCUGGCGGCGUGCCUAACACAUGCAAGUCGAACGGAGUUCUUAAGGAAUGCGACUUCGGUCAAAUGACUUUUGAACUUAGUGGCGGACGGGUGAGUAACGCGUGAGCAACCUGCCUUUCAGAGGGGGAUAACAUUUGGAAACAGAUGCUAAUACCGCAUAAGAUUACAGUACCGCAUGAUACAGUGAUCAAAGGAGCAAUCCGCUGAAAGAUGGGCUCGCGUCCGAUUAGAUAGUUGGUGAGGUAACGGCUCACCAAGUCGACGAUCGGUAGCCGGACUGAGAGGUUGAACGGCCACAUUGGGACUGAGACACGGCCCAGACUCCUACGGGAGGCAGCAGUGGGGAAUAUUGCACAAUGGGCGAAAGCCUGAUGCAGCAACGCCGCGUGAGGGAAGACGGUUUUCGGAUUGUAAACCUCUGUUUUCGGUGACGAAUAAAUGACGGUAACCGAGUAGGAAGCCACGGCUAACUACGUGCCAGCAGCCGCGGUAAUACGUAGGUGGCAAGCGUUAUCCGGAAUUACUGGGUGUAAAGGGAGCGCAGGCGGGAUAGCAAGUCAGCUGUGAAAACUAUGGGCUCAACCCAUAAACUGCAGUUGAAACUGUUAUUCUUGAGUGGAGUAGAGGCAAGCGGAAUUCCGAGUGUAGCGGUGAAAUGCGUAGAUAUUCGGAGGAACACCAGUGGCGAAGGCGGCUUGCUGGGCUCUAACUGACGCUGAGGCUCGAAAGUGUGGGGAGCAAACAGGAUUAGAUACCCUGGUAGUCCACACUGUAAACGAUGAUUGCUAGGUGUGGGGGGUCUGACCCCCUCCG
rnacentral:rRNA from 1 species